rnacentral:rRNA from 1 species
UACGUAGGGUGCGAGCGUUGUCCGGAAUUAUUGGGCGUAAAGAGCUUGUAGGCGGUCUGUCGCGUCUGCUGUGAAAAUCCGGGGCUCAACCCCGGACUUGCAGUGGGUACGGGCAGACUAGAGUGUGGUAGGGGGAGACUGGAAUUCCUGGUGUAGCGGUGAAAUGCGCAGAUAUCAGGAGGAACACCGAUGGCGAAGGCAGGUCUCUGGGCCACUACUGACGC